AGUGAACGCUGGCGGUAGGCCUAACACAUGCAAGUCGAACGGCAGCACAGUAAGAGCUUGCUCUUACGGGUGGCGAGUGGCGGACGGGUGAGGAAUACAUCGGAAUCUACUUUUUCGUGGGGGAUAACGUAGGGAAACUUACGCUAAUACCGCAUACGACCUACGGGUGAAAGCAGGGGAUCUUCGGACCUUGCGCGAUUGAAUGAGCCGAUGUCGGAUUAGCUAGUUGGCGGGGUAAAGGCCCACCAAGGCGACGAUCCGUAGCUGGUCUGAGAGGAUGAUCAGCCACACUGGAACUGAGACACGGUCCAGACUCCUACGGGAGGCAGCAGUGGGGAAUAUUGGACAAUGGGCGCAAGCCUGAUCCAGCCAUACCGCGUGAGUGAAGAAGGCCUUCGGGUUGUAAAGCCCUUUUGUUGGGAAAGAAAAGCAGCAGGUUAAUACCCCGCUGUUCUGACGGUACCCAAAGAAUAAGCACCGGCUAACUUCGU
rnacentral:rRNA from 1 species